rnacentral:sRNA from 1 species
CGCCUGUCCCAACCUCUGGCUGGCUUCGGAGCCUGCAGGCACGGAAGGGAGUGCAGGUUCGCUCCUCCGCGGAAGUUCUUCCCCGGAUGCGCAGGCGGGAGCCCGGUGUCGGUGUACGAGGAUCCCCCGGACGCCGAGCCCACAGCGUUGCCAGCCCUCACCACCAUAGACCUGCAGGACCUCGCUGACUGCUCUUCGCUACUCGGGUCCGACGCGCCGCCUGGUGGUGACCUGGCCGCCUCGCAGAACCAUUCCCUCCAAACGGAAGCAGACUUCGAUCUGCAGGAUUUCAGAGAAACGGUGGAUGAUCUCAUUGCAGACUCAUCCUCUAUGAUGUCGCCUACCCUGGCCAGCGGAGACUUCCCCUUCUCUCCUUGCGACAUAUCACCAUUCUGGCCCUGCCUCUCCCCGCCAGUGGACCCACGGGCCCUGCAGUCACCACCGCUGCGCCCUCCAGACGUGCCGCCGCCUGAGCAGUACUGGAAGGAGGUGGCGGACCAGAACCAGAGAGCGUUGGGAGACGCGCUUGUUGAGAAUAAUCAACUGCACGUGACAUUGACCCA